UGUACACACCGCCCGUCACACCAUGGAGUUGGGUUCACCCGAAGGCGUUGCGCUAACUCGCAAGAGAGGCAGGCGACCACGGUGGGCUUAGCGACUGGGGUGAAGUCGUAACAAGGUAGCCGUAGGGGAACCUGCGGCUGGAUCACCUCCUU
rnacentral:rRNA from 1 species